AUUGAACGCUGGCGGCAUGCCUUACACAUGCAAGUCGAACGGCAGCACGGGUGCUUGCACCUGGUGGCGAGUGGCGAACGGGUGAGUAAUACAUCGGAACAUGUCCUGUAGUGGGGGAUAGCCCGGCGAAAGCCGGAUUAAUACCGCAUACGAUCUACGGAUGAAAGCGGGGGACCUUCGGGCCUCGCGCUAUAGGGUUGGCCGAUGGCUGAUUAGCUCGUUGGUGGGGUAAAGGCCUACCAAGGCGACGAUCAGUAGCUGGUCUGAGGGGACGACCAGCCACACUGGGACUGAGACACGGCCCAGACUCCUACGGGAGGCAGCAGUGGGGAAUGUUGGACAAUGGGCGAAAGCCUGAUCCAGCAAUGCCGCGUGUGUGAAGAAGGCCUUCGGGUUGUAAAGCACUUUUGUCCGGAAAGAAAUCCUUGGCCCUAAUACGGUCGGGGGAUGACGGUACCGGAAGAAUAAGCACCGGCUAACUACGUG
rnacentral:rRNA from 1 species